GCGUAGGAAUCUACCUAGUAGUGGGGACGAACUCGGGAAACGUCGAGCUAAUACCGCAUACGCCCUACGGGGAAAGGACGGGGGACCGUUCGGGCCGUCGUGCUAUUAGAUGAGCCUGCGUUGGAUUAGCUAGUUGGUGGGGUAAAGGCCUACCAAGGCGACGAUCCAUAGCUGGUCUGAGAGGAUGAUCAGCCACACCGGGACUGAGACACGGCCCGGACUCCUACGGGAGGCAGCAGUGGGGAAUAUUGCGCAAUGGGCGAAAGCCUGACGCAGCCAUGCCGCGUGUGUGAAGAAGGC
rnacentral:rRNA from 1 species